rnacentral:lncRNA from 1 species
UUGGGCUACGGUUGUUGUUGGCGACUGUGCUUCAAGCGGUGAGUGUAGAUCACCUUCGCAGCUGCCACAGGGAGAGUAGGAGUGAUUGCAGCUGAGAAAGACGCAACAUUCGGUCCUGGUUGAAAAGGGUGGGGAGGACUGCGCUUCCUUAAUGACUGCUGCGGCCAGAAUGCAACGUGGCUUAAUUUCUCGGUUGAUCCUUCUCCUUCCCCGCCUUGGGUUUCUAGCAGCAGUUUUCUCUUGAUUUCAGAUUGUCUUGGGUGUCUGCUUUUGGGGCAGAGUUUUCAUCGGAGGCAUGCAGAGAGUUAGGCUUUUCUAGCAACUUGCUUUGCAGCUCUUGUGAUCUUCUCGGACAGUUCAACCUGCUUCAGCUGGAUCCUGAUUGCAGAGGAUGCUGUCAGGAGGAAGCACAAUUUGAAACCAAAAAGCUGUAUGCAGGAGCUAUUCUUGAAGUUUGUGGAUGAAAAUUGGGAAGGUUCCCUCAAGUCCAAGCUUUUGU